CUUUUUUUCUUUUUUUUUUAAUUUUUUUUUUUUUGAGACCCAGUCUUGCUCUGUUGCCCAGGCUGGAGUGCAGUGGUGCAAACACGGCUCACUGCAGCCUCUGCCUCCUGGGUUCAGUGAUUCUCAUGCCUCAGCCUCCGAGUAGCUGGGAUUAAAGAUGUGCAUCACCACGCCCAGCUAAUUUUUGUAUUUUUAGUAGAGAUGGGGUUUCACCAUGUUGGCCAGGCUGGUCUCGAAGUCCUGGCCUUAUGUGAUACAAAUAAUUGGGACAGCCUCCCAAAGUGCUGGGAUUACAAGCGUGAGCCACCACACCCAACCUGUUUUUAAAAUGUUUAUUGUCUAUAUUUGAGUUUACAACAUGAUGUUAUAGAAUAAUGGGACAGAUAUAGAUAGCACAGUGGUUACUAUGGUGAAGCCGAUGAGCAUGUCUGUUAUCUCACAUAGUCACCGUUUUUAGUGUGUGUGAGGAGCAGCUGAAACCUGCUUCACAGAAAUCCCUUAUGUUGUGCGUGAGCCCUCUAGACUUACUCAUCCUGUAUAUCUGCUACUUGGUGUCCUUUGGCCUACAUCUCCCUAUUUCCUUCAGCUCCUGCCCAUGAGUCAUGUGCUGUUCCUGGGGCUUGGAUGAUGUAGGGGAAGCAAGGUGAAAGUGGUAUCCCGUGGUUCCACGUUCUGUCCUGCUGUGGGGCUGUCCCUCACAUGCUUUCAGUGGCUGUUGCAGAGGAAGAGCCUCCGGAAAUCUGCGUGGGUCUCAGCCUUAGAUCCAAGGACAGUCCAAGGAAGUCCUAAGACCAUGGAGUUGGUGAUCUGGGAUCUGGGUUUGCUGAUAUUUCUCACCGUGAAUCUCUUGGUGGUGUUUGUGGGCACGAGAGGGGCAGAGAAUGGAGAGUGAGGCUACCACAUGAAGCGUCACCAGAGCUGCUCCCUGCUGCCUGCUCAGAGCACCCCGGAUCCACUGUUCAAUCUGCACAAGAUUCGGGGUCCAGACAUGGGAGACUUCAGCUGCCUCAGAGGACCGUGGACAGGGAAGGCCAGCCUCGCAUCCCUCUGUCCAUGCCUGGAAUGACUUUAAUAACCAAGAGUUUUAUUUUUGAAUUUGUAGCUGUCGUUCACUUUUUACCCACCCAUUCAAUAAACCUUACAGAAUUGCUCCA
ensembl:lncRNA SNHG17 small nucleolar RNA host gene 17